rnacentral:misc_RNA from 1 species
GAAAUGCGAUACGUAAUGUGAAUUGCAGAAUUCAGUGAAUCAUCGAGUCUUUGAACGCACAUUGCGCCCCCUGGUAUUCCGGGGGGCAUGCCUGUCCGAGCGUCAUUGCUGCCCUCAAGCCCGGCUUGUGUGUUGGGUCUCGUCCCCCUCCCCGGGGGACGGGCCCGAAAGGCAGCGGCGGCACCGCGUCUGGUCCUCGAGCGUAUGGGGCUUUGUCACCCGCUCUGUAGGCCCGGCCGGCGCCUGCCGAUCAACCAAUUUCUUUCCAGGUUGACCUCGGAUCAGGUAGGGAUACCCGCUGAACUUAA